GACGAACGCUGGCGGCGUGCUUAACACAUGCAAGUCGAACGGAAAGGCCCUGCUUUUGUGGGGUGCUCGAGUGGCGAACGGGUGAGUAACACGUGAGUAACCUGCCCUUGACUUUGGGAUAACUUCAGGAAACUGGGGCUAAUACCGGAUAGGAGCUCCUGCUGCAUGGUGGGGGUUGGAAAGUUUCGGCGGUUGGGGAUGGACUCGCGGCUUAUCAGCUUGUUGGUGGGGUAGUGGCUUACCAAGGCUUUGACGGGUAGCCGGCCUGAGAGGGUGACCGGCCACAUUGGGACUGAGAUACGGCCCAGACUCCUACGGGAGGCAGCAGUGGGGAAUAUUGCACAAUGGGCGGAAGCCUGAUGCAGCAACGCCGCGUGCGGGAUGACGGCCUUCGGGUUGUAAACCGCUUUCGCCUGUGACGAAGCGUGAGUGACGGUAAUGGGUAAAGAAGCACCGGCUAACUACGUGCCAGCAGCCGCGGUGAUACGUAAGGUGCGAGCGUUGUCCGGAUUUAUUGGGCGUAAAGGGCUCGUAGGUGGUUGAUCGCGUCGGAAGUGUAAUCUUGGGGCUUAACCCUGAGCGUGCUUUCGAUACGGGUUGACUUGAGGAAGGUAGGGGAGAAUGGAAUUCUUGGUGGAGCGGUGGAAUGCGCAGAUAUCAGGAGGAACACCAGUGGCGAAGGCGGUUCUCUGGGCCUUUCCUGACGCUGAGGAGCGAAAGCGUGGGGAGCGAACAGGCUUAGAUACCCUGGUAGUCCACGCUGUAAACGGUGGGUACUAGGUGUGGGGUCCAUUCCACGGGUUCCGUGCCGUAGCUAACGCUUUAAGUACCCCGCCUGGGGAGUACGGCCGCAAGGCUAAAACUCAAAGGAAUUGACGGGGCCCCGCACAAGCGGCGGAGCAUGCGGAUUAAUUCGAUGCAACGCGUAGAACCUUACCUGGGUUUGACAUGGAUCGGGAGCGCUCAGAGAUGGGUGUGCCUCUUUUGGGGUCGGUUCACAGGUGGUGCAUGGCUGUCGUCAGCUCGUGUCGUGAGAUGUUGGGUUAAGUCCCGCAACGAGCGCAACCCUUGUUCACUGUUGCCAGCACGUUAUGGUGGGGACUCAGUGGAGACCGCCGGGGUCAACUCGGAGGAAGGUGGGGAUGACGUCAAGUCAUCAUGCCCCUUAUGUCCAGGGCUUCACGCAUGCUACAAUGGCUGGUACAGAGAGUGGCGAGCCUGUGAGGGUGAGCGAAUCUCGGAAAGCCGGUCUCAGUUCGGAUUGGGGUCUGCAACUCGACCUCAUGAAGUCGGAGUCGCUAGUAAUCGCAGAUCAGCAACGCUGCGGUGAAUACGUUCCCGGG
rnacentral:rRNA from 1 species